GAGUGAAUAUUUUCAUAUUUUAAGCGUCUUUCAAGCUUGGGAAAAGUUAGCUUACAAUAGCUGAAUGAUGAAAUCAAGCGCGUCGAAGGUGAAAUUUCUGAUUACAAGAAACAUAAAUUCUGAGCAGAAUCUUGACUAAUGGUUCAGGCAAUACACUUCUAAAAGUGAAGGUGCCUAUCGAAGAAUGAUUUUUUUAUUUUUUUUAGUAACCUGUAUUUAUGUAAUUUCUCGUAUCUCAAUUCACCCCAAGUCAAACUCUCAUUGUCUAUAAGGGUUAG
rnacentral:misc_RNA from 1 species